CGUUGGCCUGAACGCAUUGCUGUGUCGUCGACUUUUCGCAUCGCGUCUGUGCACGAAUUACGAACUUUUGUGUUAUCUGUGCUCCGAAAUGGAUAUACUAACCCUGGACCCGACUGGACUGUAUUAAAAAACCCAACAUGGAAGCCAUAACACUCGAUCCGACCGGUCAAUAUUGACGAUGGCUAAGAGUUUGGACCCUACCGGUGUGUAUUGAACUUUCUUAUUAGAAUCUUACCAGAAUGGAAGUAUUGGAUCCUACUGGGCAAUAUUAACUUCAAAAUGAUCGGGCUAGACCCAACAGAAAUCUAUUGAUAUCUAUCGCUAGACAACAAGAUGUGCUGCGGGAGACGAAUUAUCCGUACAGGCGCUCGUCCAGAAGAAACCUCAUCGUGUAGAAAGAGGAGGUACAGAACGAUUACAUAAAUUGGUUGCUCAAUAUCAACGACUGUAAAUAGUAAGGAAAAAAUGAAGGGGGACGAAUUGGCAAGGUCAUUGGUUGGAUAUCAGCUGACUACGCGGCUGCAUUCAGGAAAUAUAUUGGAUAUGCAGAAGAUGCGGCGGCGUGGCGGCCAGAAUUAUACAAUUUAGAACGCGUUCGACAGAUCACAAAAAUUUUGAAUGAGAUAUAAUGGACGAUGGUUUUCCGCUUCGCACAUCGAGUUUUUCUACAAUCUAUGACCCUCCAACCUUCGUGUUAAUACUCAUUAGAUUUAAGAUGCUAAUUGACUGAUUGUUCUCUCGUCAACUUGCACAUAUCUUUCAUGCAUUUGUAUUUUUAAAUUAUUUUAUUUAAAAAAAAGAAUGAUGCGUUGUUGACGGAAUGGCAGAUAAUUUAAUUUAGUAAUUUAUGAUUCGGAAUAAAUCAAAAUUGAAAUAAGAUUAGUAUUUAUCAUAGAAAUGUAAGUAAUUGUCAUUCUGUCAGUGACGUUUAUCUUCUUCUAGAAUCUAGGUUAAGUUAUAAAAGACAAGCAAAAAGAGGCAAAGGGUUUUUUGAAUGGUUCUCUUCAUCUAAACUGUAUAUUAUCCGAGUAACCUUCAAAAUUUACCGUAUUAUAAUACCUAUGUAAAAGGGAAAAAUUAUUUAGCGAUUAGUUUGUAUAAUCUACUUCUUAUUCGAAUAAAUCGAGUUACCAUUUUUUUUUCUUUUUGCUUUCGCAAGUGUAAAUAACCGCUUGUGCUUUUUUUUUAAAUUGAACUGAAAUAGUAAUUGAGACUGUACUAACAAUGAAUUCAGUGCUGUCAAUAAAGACUGAUCGGGACACAAAAGUGCUGCUAUGAAAUCUCUAGCCCAUCUGGAUCCCACCCUAGUGUAAUUCAAAACAUGUAAUUCAUUUUAUUUAGUCUUAAGUGUAUGUAAUAAAGAUGUUUAUAUUAUAA